CAUAGCGACUAUCGUGGCAUAUCAAUAAGCGGAGGAAAAGAAACUAACAAGGAUUCCCCUAGUAACGGCGAGUGAAGCGGGAAGAGCUCAAAUUUGAAAUCUUAAAGGGUUUCCCUUUACGAAUUGUAGUUUAAAGAAGUGUUUUCUGUUGGAGUUUCGGUAAAAGUUCUUUGGAAUAGGACAUCAUAGAGGGUGAGAAUCCCGUAUUUGACCGUUACUUUCCAGCUGUGUGAUACACUUUCAAAGAGUCGGAUUGUUUGGGAGUGCAGUCCAAAAUGGGUGGUAAAUUUCAUCUAAAGCUAAAUAUUGGCGAGAGAUCCGAUAGCGAACAAGGUACCGUGAGGGAAAGAUGAAAUGAACUUUGAAAAGAGAGUUAAACAGUACGUGAAAUUGUCAAAAGGGAAGCGUUUGACACCAGUGUUGUUUAGUUGAAAAUCAAUUCAAUAGUUUUUGAUUCUAAGUAGUAUUGACUUCAUCAGCUUGCUGCUUUCUUCUCAGAAAUUAUUGAAUGCACUUUUCAGUUAACAAGUCAACAUCAAUUUCUUUUGUUGUAAAAGGGUAAGAGGAAGGUGGCUUACGCUUCGGCGUAAGUGUUUAUAGCCUUUUACCUCUGCAAUCGGAGAGAUUGAGGACAGCAGCGUAGACUCUUCGGGGUUAGAUACACUUGUGCUAAGCUAUAGCCUUGUAUAGACAACUUGUUGACUAUGCUCAGUCAUGUAGCUUACUCGCUUGUGCUAUUUUACCUACGCUUAGGAUGUUGAUAUGCAUGACUGAUAU
rnacentral:rRNA from 1 species